AUGUGCCAGAACACUGACACCACACGGAUGAAGAGAGAGAGAGACAGACCCAAAUUAUCACCCUUUCAUGAAAAGAGACUGAACAGACUCUGUCAGCGAGGAGAGGGCCGCUUAAGGAGGAUCGAUUUUCCUGCAGGCUAUAAUCAGUCCGGCCCUUUCAUGUCAGCCCUUUGAGACAUUAGGGGAAGGUGUCUGGACCGCCUGAAGGACCCCAUGUGCUUUUGAAACAGGGUUGUCCCUGAUUGUGCAUUCUUU
ensembl:lncRNA